rnacentral:lncRNA from 1 species
CGGCUAAUAGUCUGUAGCGGAUGCGUGAUCUCACUCAUGAUCAUGAGUUUCUUCUUAAUUUCAAAAUCGAAUUUUGAGGUUUCUGCAUUUUCCUGCUGCUAGAGAAUGAUCUUUUAUCUGACUGGCUUUUAUCCUUUAAAAAGAUCGUAGUGGCUUUCAACUAGUAUGUAUGAUUCCUGAUCUUUUGGUCCGGCAAUUCUUAACCUUUUUCUCCUCCUCCUCUUCUUUUUCCUAAUAUAAUUCAAAAACCAAAUUAAAAAAAAAAAAAAUCCUUUGAGGCAUUAAAACAAACAACUGUAAAAUUGUGGCGAACGGAAACAAUCCAAUGGGUUCACUCAAUCCAUGGCUACAUCGGCUACUUCAUCUUGAAUAAGGUGUUUCUAAUAGGAUACUCGUCUAGAUCACUGGAUGGCUUCCAAAAAUCCGAGGACGACGGUGACACAAAGCAGGCGGAAAUGGGCAGGCGUCCCAUGCUCUGUCAUGCUGACAGACGGUCAAUCCGCAACCUCAAUGCCAUACCGCAGACGUCAUCAAUUGACCGAAAUCCGUACCCACUGCCAUACCUUUACUGUCCCUAGUGGUAGCAGGCAUGUGGAUAUGAGUGGGUGCCGUCCUCAAUACCAUCCCGCCGGAGUCACAUUUGCGAUCCGCGGCGGAGCACCGUAGGAUUGUCAAUUCUAUCAAUCCGGGUGUCCGACCCAAAUUAUUGUCCACAACAGAAACGGGUUGAUAAUUAAUAAGCCCCAAAUUAUUGUGACAAAAUAACAUAUUUGAUUUGAUGACCAAUCAUUAAUUGAAAUCUGUAGGAUGUUGUUGGGCGUUCACGGCAGUUGGUGCGGUAGAAGGAAUCAACCAAAUAGUCACCGGCAAGUUGGUGACCUUGUCCGCGCAAGAGCUAGUAGAUUGUGAUACUGGUGGCUUCAACCAUGGUUGCCUAGGUGGAAACAUGUAUAAGGCUUUUGAAUUCAUCAAAAACAAUGGAGGUAUCGACACCGAUGCUGAUUAUCCUUAUAAGACAACACAAAACACUUGCGAUCUUAACAAGGUAUUAUUUAUAUGAUUGAUGAUAUGAUAAUUGAAGGUAUACACUGGCGCACCUGACGCCCAGUGUGGUUCGCAUCCGGGCUGGUGUGAAUUAUUCACGUCCAACGGGUACAGUAAAAAUGGAUUUUGAUAAGAACAUGAGGGAUCUGGACGACCCAUCGUGUGUGUGUGUACAGCCAGCAUCACUCCGCAGGUGAUGCUGUCUGCGGAUGGUCGACCUCAUUUGCGACCGCACUGCAGUUCUUAACAUACAUUUUCGGAACUGCAGUCGCCGAACUAUAUCUCGGUAGUUCCUGAACUCAUCUACGAUUCCCGAACUGCAGUCUGCAACCGCAGAUGCAUCCUAUAUAUAUAUAUAGGAAAAACUUCUGGAACGGCACGUCCGCACGGUGAUCACCGUGCGGACACCAAAUCAAACCGUCCAUUGGUGUACACUAAGCUCGACCGUUGGCGACUAACAAUGCCGUUUUGUCACUCCGUUCUGUCUCCUGAAUUUGGCGACCGUUGAUGACAGUUCCGAGCGAGUUCCGCCGAGAUGACAGUUCCGAGCGAGUUCCGCAGUGCGAUUGCAGGUCCGUCGGAACUGCAAUCCGGGUUCCAUGAUGGAUUCCCCGAUGGAUUCCGCGGAUGCCGGGUUCCGCGAUGGGUUCCGAAAACUUUGAAGAUCGUGGAACCCGGCAUCCGCGGAAUCCAUCGGGGAACCCAUCUAUGAACUCGCUCGGAUCUGGAAUCGGAUUGCGGAACGGUACCGUUCCUCAACCCAUCUAUGAACCGCGGAACCCAUCCGUCGUUGCUCUGAUGACGCCAUUCCGAUUGGACGGUGGCCGCUCACAGUGUUCACAGGGCGUCCGACUAGAUGGGCGAAAUCGUACGCGGCCAUCCUGUAUCCGAUUGGAAUCCCGCCGCAUAGAUGGGUUGAUGGUAUUUGGAUUUGGAUUCACAGUGCGCCAUGCUUUCAAUUUCAGUUGCAUUUGGAUUCGCGCGUGGACUUUUAAUGAUUUAAAGAUUUAAUUAAGAUUGAGAAACGGUGCUUCGAUCGGUUGAGGAACCGUGGAUCUGGAAUCGAAGGUGGAGGGGUAGGGUACCGUUCGCAGCGACCGUGCGAUCAGGUCCGUUCCUGAUAAAUACUGUAUAUAUAUAUAUAUAUAAUUGGAUAUGAAAAAACUAUAUAUAUUUUAAAUACAGAAAAAUACCAAAAUCGUAACAAUCGAUGGAUAUGAGUCCUUGCGUCCGAAUGACGAGAAUGCUCUUAAAAACGCGGUUGUUCAUCAACCUAUCACUGUUGGCAUUGAAAGCUACCGGCGGGAGUUCCAACUCUACAGCAAUGUAAGCAAGCUAGCUCAUGACUUGUUACUUGUUAGUUAUAAUAAUAAUAAUAAUAAAUUAAGUUGGAUCGAUCUUUGUGAUGAUGAUGAUGAUGAUGAUUGAAUUGUUUGGUUGAUUAGGGCAUAUACCAAGGACCAUGCUCAUAUAAUCUCGACCACGGUGCUUUGGUGGUGGGAUACGGUGAGGCCGAUGGAGUAAAGUAUUGGAUUCUUAAAAACACGUGGGGAACGGAUUGGGGAGAAAAAGGAUAUAUGAGAAUUCAGAGAGAUUCGGGGAAUUUUUAUGGGAAAUGUGGAAUGACAAGGGUGAUGUCGUAUCCUGUAAAGAAUGCGGCAAAUUUGAAGAUGAUCGACGAAGACUCUCUUCGGAUCAAGAUUAUCAACGAUGGAGGUGAAAGCAGAAGCUUGGAUGAGUGAAUCAUCGAUCGUUGGCAGGUUAAUUGGUUCAUAGAAUAAUUAAUGGGUUUCAAUUUAAAUAAGAGCUAGAAAUGCAACUUAAUUUGAUUGGGUCAACGUACUCUCAAAAAAAAAUAUAUAUUUGUUUUAAACUCGAUUUCUGUGUAAUAUACGGAUGUAAAUUAAUAAUAUUAUUAUUUUGUAAAAAUAUCAGUAUUUGGUUAAUUAUUUUUGAUACGGAUUGUAGCGUUGGUGAUCGGAUUUCAGGGGAUCACCGGGAUCGUAACGAGUGGGUGACAGAAAUGCGGAUUCCUCGAGUUUAUCCCAAAAGAUCCUGAGAAAGAAGACGAGUUUGGGUUGAGGAAUUCGAUCCAGAUGUAUUAUUGAAGUCAAUUAGCAGUUUUUGGACUUGAUCCAUCAAUUCAUUAUCCUCGAUAAUAAAGAGCCCCAUUGAGUUAUGGGUCGGUCGGCCUUUUUAGUUCUAUAGUCAUAAUUUUUGGCCUUCUUCAGAUGUUAUUUUGUCAUGUUUUUCUCAAGAGCUGGGGCUUUUGUUUUUCAGCUGCACGCACAUCUUAUUCAUUGGGAUAUUGUCAUAACUGAGAAGAAUGGAUUCCUCUGCUACUGUGAUCUCGCAGAGGCGGAGCUACAUUGUAUUCCGGUCAACAUCUCCAAUGAUUUUUACAUUUUUUUUCCCUCUCGCCCAAGUCAUGAUAUGCAAAACUUACAAAUUUGUUUUCGCCAUAAUAGGAUUUAGAAUAUUUAAUAGUGGUGAUGUGUUUUUAUUCAUAUUUGAGAACAAAUAUAAAGUUAGUUAUUUGGCCUUUUGUUUUUGUCGACAAUCUAAUAUUCUCA